AGAGGUGGUUAGAGCCACCACUUGCAGGCUGACCCUGCCCCUCCAUGCUGAUAGAAACCAACACGAAAACCCCACCUGGGAUAACUACUGGCAGCUGUACCAGUACUGCCUUUGACGAAGCACUCUUCUGCUGUCAGUCCUCCUACAACAAUAAAGCUGUUAAUCAAUGCAGGGAAGCCACGAGCACAGGAGACAGCUUUCCCUGCAGUUACAGCUACGUGGUGGAAUGUACAUCCCACAAGAUGUACAGAUGGCCACGAACCUCCUUGCACUAAGGGCUAAAUGCAGAACUUCUUCCUUUGAUUUAGCACUUGCCGAAGACUCUUCUAUGCAACAAACAAGUUACUUAUUCAGUAGCUGGAAGGGGAGAAAGAGGAUUUGUGUUUGUUUAAGUAUUUUGGUUGUACUUUGUUAUUAUGGUUGUGUGGGUUUAUGCUUACCUAAACAACCAGAAAUAUUCCAAAAUACCCUGGUUAAUCAAGUAAUUUAGUUGAUGCUUCAAGGGAGGUUUAAUAUAACUCAUCUUUUUUUAACAAACAUCUUUUUCUGCAAGUUAAAUGAUGCAGUAGAGUUCCUCAGCUGGUAGGAAACAGUGUGCAGGGCCUAAAUCUCAGGAUUAACCUGAACUAUGUCAUCCGCAAAGAGGCACAGUGAAUGAGUCUGCUGGAUUAACGAUCCAUCACCUCUCUGCUGCCUGCCAUCGGUGCCCAACGGGGACUUCAGACUUCACCCUGACCACAGUUAGGGCACCUACGAGCACCUGCCUACCCGUGGAGCUCUGAGCAUAGAGGGUUCCAGCCUUACACGGGGCGAGCAAACCUUCAUUUCACCUGGGAGAACACAUGGAAGGGUAGAGCUCUUCUACUGGGUUGAUUCUGACUUUGUUGUCAGGAGUGAGAAUGAUGCAACUACCCAGAAAUGUUGAAGCAAAACCCCCCCAUCUUUAAAAGUAAUUGCUUCCUCCUUUUGUAAACUGCCUGCUCUUUAAGCACUAGGAAUCAUUGUAAUUAAUCCUCAAUUCAAGUUUCUGUAUCUAUGUUACAUUGUUAUGUUUACUUAGAUGUAAAAUGCAUUAUUCUUUACAUCAUUAUGGCAUCAAUCCACACAGUCUCUGUUACACGCACAGGCAGCUCUAAACUAAAACAUUAGGUGGAGUGUUAAAGAGCUACUUAGGUGCCAAUAUGUUAAUUAAUUAAUCACAGGCAUGUUUCAAAGCAUUCUUCAUACCUGAGGUGGGGCUUCUGGGCUAUUAUGAAAUGCCAAACUUCCCUUGGGGCUUUGAGGAUUGCACUUCUAAAUUCCUUAGAAGUUCAGGGAAGCAAAAAGGUAUGUUUUUGGUGUGAGUCACUGGAGUGAGAACAGUGCACAGGAGCAUGAACCCAGGACUCGGUGUUGGACUGCUGCCCUUUUCUUUGGCCUUCACGUGCUCUGGAUAUUAUAUUCCUCUUUUCUAUACACCAACUCUAAGAAUUCAUUUCCGGCUUUCUCUUCCCAGUAGUUCAAGUUUUAAGGUAGGAAGUGAUAGGUGAGAGUGCCAAGUCUGCCUGGCAAGAAUGGGAAGGUGGUUGAACUUGGUGCCCAAUUCUGCUCUUGUAAUUGCUGUGUUUUGGGCUAGGCUUAAUCCAGUCUGCAGGCAGAUUUUGGAGGUGCUUAGAAAAAGCACAAGAGUCUGAGCUUCAUUUAAAUGAUGAGAUCUUGGACACCCUACAGCUUAGGCAGCUGGGUGGAGAUCUUAUGGAUCACUUGCUUGAACUUGCAUACCGUAAUUUCUUCUAAAUGACUCUAAGUGCCUAUUUAUUUAUUUUUCAUUCAGAUUAAGCCCUUUCUUUCGCUCUGCUUCAGUCUCCAUCCAGAAAAGAAUAAUAGCAACAACUGCUGCCUCUCCAGGACGUUGUGUAAUGAAUAUUCAAAGGCUUGGAAAACACACAGAUAUGAUGUCAACAGGGGUUGUACUGAGCACAACUAAGUUACCUGGUCACUGUAGCUUUAGGUCCAGGAGAAGCAAACUGAAGGAAUAGUUAGUUUUGCCCCUUCUCUAGAUGUGUUUUUGUAUUGAUGAGAAUUAAUGGAAGGAUACUUUUUCUUCAUGCAUCUCCCUCUUUGUUUUAUAAGCUGCUCUCUGCCAAGUCUGACCAUGGUGAAUGAAAUUCUUUUGUGAUACUUGUCAUUUCCAAGUAAAUUGGGAUUUCCAAACUCCUGUAAAUAUGGAGCCUUGCAUAAAAGUAGAAGUACACUUACAUGUCAAAAGCUAAAAUUCGUCUGUACACACAUCCCUGCACACGAGAGUGAGGCUCAUUGUUGAGGACAGAUUUAACGCGUAUGUGUAACGUCAACUCAGUCAUAUACCUGUAAGUUACAAGGUCUGUAUAUAAAGCGUUUUUAAAAAGUGUAAUCCAGUUGUAUGUUUCAUUAACAAAAUGACUAAUCUCGCUAAAUAUUACAACAAAGGUGCUGAUGGAAUUUAAGCCCUAAUCUGUGAAGGCAGCUUUAUAAUUUUACAAGAGUAGCUGUUCUUAAUAAACAUCAAAGUGUAUGUAAUUAUUAUGUGACUUUAGUCCUUUUUUUCCCACGAUACUAUAGUUAAUCUUGACAACAGCUACCAUUAAGUACAGUGUUUUAACUCCCUUGACGAUAAAGUUUAAAAAUAGCUUUGGUUCAUAUUGUUCCACUCUGCCAUUAUCCUUCAGUUGGCUCAGGGGGGUGACCUUCACUCUCUGGUCUGGAGGCAUGGCUUGGACAUGCUGGGCACUGUCAUUUGGAGCUUGUUUUGGGAAAAAGAACCAAGACAGGAACAGCAUGAAAAAUCUCAUUUUCUCAUGGAAGAGCACCCCCUCUUUGAAUAUAAGCUUAGGCUGCGUUAGUAUGUGGAGGUUACCUUUAUAUUUCUCUGAAGUUCAUUGAUCUCAAAAGCAAAGCAAAACAAAACCAGAGCAAUUGUAAGAUUUGGAGCAGUUUGUCUUCCUAAAAAGGCAGAUGUGAAGUGACAGAGGGGCUCUAUUGCGAUUAGAGCAGGGUGAUGCUUUGCUUUAUGGAGGACUUGCAGCAUGGCUGUAAAGCCUGCUGUCUGCAAGAAGCCCUGUGUUUGGGCUUCUGCAAUAGCACUGUUCUUUUGUCUACAUAUUCUUGAUGGAGGUUUUGAUAAUGACUUGAGAGACUGGGGAGAGUUUAACUUAACUCUUCCACAAUUGAGAAGUGCCAUACACAAUGGGCUGCUUUACAGGGUUUGAGGGACUGUUGUGUUUCAGGCAAAGGAAAUGGAAUCAAAAUUCCCAAAGCAGGAUUGGGGCUCAUCAUUUAUCUCUGUAGAAUUUAGCCAUGUUUUAUCUCCUCCUCUCCACUAAUGGUAUGACCUGCCAUAUUUCUUUGAGAAAUUCUGCUAAAUACGGACAAGUACACUGUGUACAAAGAUUUCAUCACAUUUGCUAGCACUUGCAGUCUGUGCUCCUUUUCACCCUAUCCUUGACUUCUUGAGCUCAUUUAAACAGGUCAUUUUCUUGUGAAGCCUAUUACAGUGUGAGUCUUAGUAGGUUAUGUUCUAGGGAGAAGAAAAUAUAGCACUGAAAUACCAAUCUAAUGAAAGAAAUACUUAACAUAGUCUACAGACAAAUAGAAAUAUAUUAAUAGCAACAACACUGUUGUUGCAUUUACUGACAUCAUUAGUUUAUUUUCUGCCUUAACGGGCAAAUGCAUUUGCUCUUUGUGCAAACAAAAGCAUAUUCAAAACUCUUUACUAGAAACAGUGGUCACACAUUGUACCUGUAUUUCUUGAACUGAGAACAGAACAGAAAUCCAAUGUUUUUCUCAGGCAUGCUUUAUAGGUGUGCAUUCCUGCUCAUCAAGGCCCAAGCAGGAUCCUUCUCGAAUGACACAGAUGAUUAUUAUUUUGUUCCCAAGGGAAAGUGGUAUUACCGCAUCAGUAUUAUCCACUGGUAAUGAGGUGCUCACAGAUGAAAAGAGGAGGGGUAAGACAGAUAUAACAUGAGUGACUACCCUGUGGCAAAUAUUGCUUUAAAAAAAUGUUUUCAUAGCACUUCAAAGAGUCUGAGCGAGGGGAUCAUGUGAUAAUACUGCCUAACUCUUGCUUUAAACAACAGGGACUUCAAUCGCCAGUUCUGGAUAACCCUAUUAAUAUUUCUGGUAGUUCCUUUGCUUGAUGCCAAGUACAUGAUUAAGACUCUGAUUCCAUAAAUCAGAGGUGAUCACUUAACCAGAAAGUAUCAUAUGACAAAUGAAAGGCUUCUGAGAGGGAACUCUCCUCACUUCUGCAGACCUGCUUUGUGUUUCUUCCUCACUGCAGUGCCUACCACCAUUGUUGAUGUCUGUAAAGGGCUCUGGAAAGAAAAACUGUGACAGUGGCUGAGCAUUUUAACAGUGAUGAUAGACGAAAGGAUGGGAAAAUACUCUCAGUGGAAUAUGUUUGCUUUUGUUUCUCAGAUGUUGUGUAGCUUUUUUGGUAGUGGCUUAGAUAAUAGGUGCAGCAGAGACCCAGGCCUGAGUGUAUGAGGUGGCUUCCUUGGAGGCUUUGCAUGUCUGAAGACUGACAGGGUUUACUGUUUCGCACAACAGCAGGAGCAGUUCUUUCUUCUAGCUUCACUACAGAUCUAAUAUGGAAAGUAUUUCUGAACUGGUCCCAUGUUUUUCAGAGACACAAUUCAACUGCUUGCAGAGAAAUGUAGUAAAGAGUCAUUAGCCACUUUAAAAAUGUGAAACCCUCAAUGUGCGUUAAAGAAUCAGCUCUUGCACCCAGGUAAUACACCAAGUGUUGAUCAGCUGUUCCUCCACAACUACAGGGAGGGUUUCUCAACUUGCCUUGUACAUGAACAACCUUUUUUUUUCCUUUAAAUUUUUUUUACAUAUUUUUUUUUGUGUGGAUGGUCUCUUAAUUUCAGUGACAUAGGUGCUUCUUACUCUGUGCAUGCGUAUUAGUGGUACUCUUCCUUGGUCAACUGGGCAACCAAAAUAAGUGCAGAAAAGAGAGAACUGGAUGAACAAAACAUGGAGAGGUGGGAACUGUACCAUGGCAGGGCUGAGCAAUCUGGUGUGCCAGCAUGGCUGGGAGCUCAGCAUGGGGUCUGUGUGUGGUGUGGCCCCUUGCCCUCCUAGAGUUCAGCCACAGUGCUCCAUGCUGCAGGUUGAAGGCUGCACCCUCAGUGUUUUUAAGUAGAAGACCAUCAGCUAGCUGUAUGAGUGUUUAUAUCCCUGGUAAUUCUGGCACAUGAAAAUUCCACCAUCAAAGCUUUCCUACAUCAAAGCCGUCUCCUACACUGAUGGCGUGUGAGGAUUUGGUGCCUUAGUGAAUGAGCUAGAGCACUGAUAAAGCCUUUCAAAUCUCUCUACUUCUGCUCUAGUGCAGGAUGGCCACAACCAUUAAUCCCUUCCUGGAAGCAGUGAUCAGCAGUGGUGUUUUUCAUUGGAAAGGCUCUCUUGUUGAGUGAGUUAAAAGUUCCUUACAUCUGUUCCUUAGCCACAUCCUAUGCGCACAGAGAAUCUUUAGGCAAGAAAGUGAGCUUCAGAUGUGUUUGCUUAAUGUAAUUUAAACAAAUCCUAAGCAAACGGAUUAAGCAAAUAAUUUUCCUUUUAAAUGAUUUAGAAACCGGUGGUGAUAAUGCAAAACAGAGGCAGGAACAGUCUUCCACGUGCAGUAAUUUGACAUGGCAAGUUGAACUAGUUGUUGCUUCACAUGCAGAAUCUUACAUAGCACAUCUUUUCUGAGUGAAUUCAGGUAGCGCCUGAGUGUGAAUGGUCA